rnacentral:rRNA from 1 species
GACGAACGCUGGCGGCGUGCCUAAUACAUGCAAGUCGAGCGGACCUUUCGGGGUCAGCGGCGGACGGGUGAGUAACACGUGGGCAAUCUGCCCGAUACUCUGGGAUAACGCUUGGAAACGAGUGCUAAUACCGGAUGGUCUUCUUGGCCGCAUGGCCGAGAAGGAAAAGACGCGUUCGCGUCGGUGUCGGAUGAGCCCGCGGCGCAUUAGCUAGUUGGUGAGGUAACGGCCCACCAAGGCGACGAUGCGUAGCCGACCUGAGAGGGUGACCGGCCACACUGGGACUGAGACACGGCCCAGACUCCUACGGGAGGCAGCAGUAGGGAAUCUUCCACAAUGGGCGAAAGCCUGAUGGAGCAACGCCGCGUGAGUGAUGAAGGCCUUCGGGUUGUAAAACUCUGUCAUUCGGGACGAACCGGAGUCUGAGGAAAUGCAGACUCUCUGACGGUACCGGAGGAGGAAGCCCCGGCUAACUACGUGCCAGCAGCCGCGGUAAUACGUAGGGGGCAAGCGUUGUCCGGAUUCACUGGGCGUAAAGCGCGCGCAGGCGGUGAUGUAAGUCUGAGGUGAAAACCCGAAGCUCAACUUCGGGACUGCCUUGGAUACUGCGUCACUUGAGGAUAGGAGAGGCAAGGGGAAUUCCACGUGUAGCGGUGAAAUGCGUAGAGAUGUGGAGGAACACCUGUGGCGAAGGCGCCUUGCUGGCCUAUUUCUGACGCUGAGGCGCGAAAGCGUGGGGAGCAA